GACGAACGCUGGCGGCGUGCUUAACACAUGCAAGUCGAACGGAAAGGCCCCUUUGGGGGUACUCGAGUGGCGCACGGGUGGGUAACACGUGAGUAACCUGCCCUUGCCUUCGGGAUAACUUCAGGAAACUGGGGCUAAUACCGGAUAGGAAUCCUUGCUGCAUGGUGGGGGUUGGAUAGCUUCGGCGGUUUUGGAUGGACUCGCGGCUUAUCAGCUUGUUGGUGGGGUAGUGGCUUACCAAGGCUUUGACGGGUAGCCGGCCUGGGAGGGCGACCGGCCACAUUGGGACUGAGGUACGGCCCAGACUCCUACGGGAGGCAGCAGUGGGGAAUAUUGCACAAUGGGCGGAAGCCUGAUGCAGCAACGCCGCGGGCGGGAUGACGGCCUUCGGGUUGUAAACCGCUUUCAGCAGGGGCGAAGCUUGUGGUGACGGUACCUGCAGAAGAAGCACCGGCUAACUACGUG
rnacentral:rRNA from 1 species